GGGAUCACCAUUAGGGAUCUC
rnacentral:misc_RNA from 1 species